rnacentral:lncRNA from 1 species
CCUCCCCUUUUAUUUUCUACUUUCAAAGCCAACUUUAAUCCCCACCUUCUAGGCCAGAGGUUCUCAGCCUUGGCUACAAAUUAGAAUCACUUGGGGUCCACAACCCACCUCCAGAUGGUUUGAUUCAGUUACUCUACAGUGUGGCCUAGCCCAGCGGGAACCUGCUCCGCCCCCCAUAUAUCUGCAAAUCCGUGCUGUUGUUAGGGGGAAGGAGACAGCUUGCUAAGUCCAAAGUAAUUCGAGAAAGCUGAGAGGAAAUGGUAGACAUAUUUGCUUUCUUAAAAUUUUAAAGCUUCCAGGUAAAUAAAUUAUUUUGCUAUUAAAUUAAGGAACAGAUUAUACAUAUUAAUAUCCAAUGUUGGUGAGAACAAGGUUCUCAUUCAUUGCUAAUGACUGGGUAACUAGGUAUAAUUCUUUGGAAAAACAAUUUAGCAAAUUAUCCAGGGAAAUAGAAAUGUGCAUGCUAUUUAGCCCAUUAUUUUUACUCCUGGAAAUCUAUCCCAAGGAAGUAAUACAAGUGCUGAAAUGAGCUAAAGUCUUCAAAAUCCUCACUGCAGCAAUAUAAUAAUAAAAAAUUAGAAACAACCUAAGUAACUGAAAAAGGAAUGAUAAAAGUAUUUAUGGUGCAUUUAGUGAUUAGACUGUUGUGGUGGAUUAACUAGUGGUCAACUUGUAACACCCCACUUAACUGAGUCAGCAUGGUAGUGGGCGUGGAAGGCCCACCUGAGGAUUGCUACCAACAGCAUAAAAGGAGGACUGGAGGGGAAGAUGGUGUCCUGUUGAUUCUCCUGGAGAAGCUUGUCACGCUGGUUUUCCUGAUACAACCUCAGCUUUUCUCAUCAUCAGAAGAGCUCGAGUCCUCUCUGUCACUGAGGAUGCUUAUGGUUCUCUUUGGAGGAGCUCUGGUCCUUACCCUGAGCAUCGCUUCUUGGCUCCAGUACAGAUCCCUCAACCUGCUGGCACAGAUCCUUCAUCCUGCUGGGAAGCUGCUCUCAUUUCCUCAGUGGGAAGACUUGUGGGGGACAUUUGACUUCGUGCUCUUAUGUCAGUUUCAUCAGCAACAUGAUUUCUCGAGUGGGAAAAGGAAGAAAUAUUUGGGCUCACAGGUAAAGGCUAAUUCUAGAAAGCAAUCCUAAGGGCUAUCACUUUCAGCUUUUUUUUUUUUUUUUUUUGAGUUCCCCGGCUUAAUAAUUGAUGAUAAUUCUUUGGAGUCCAAACUUCAGCUUGGGGAUAGAAGAGAAACUUU